UAUUGCUGGAAGGAAAUUGGACCUCGAGACCCAGAUUCCUAAAAGAAUGGACAGAAGAAGAAGGGUGAAAAGAAUAAUGAAAAUUAUCCACCUGCGAGUAAAAAAGGGUAUUUACCGCACAGUAAGAAACCCACACUGACCCCUUCAACUUCG
rnacentral:ncRNA from 1 species